rnacentral:rRNA from 1 species
GAGUGACAACGCCGCGGACUGACGGAAUAGUCCGUUAAAGGGUGUAGAUGUUGAUUAUCCCAGGCAAAUCCGGGAUAAGAGUCGAACCUGAUAGUAUACCAAUUUCCUCGGAAAACGGUAAUAGUGCGUGUAAACAUACUCCCAAGAAAAUCCGCUAAACUUAAUCUUACAGGUACCCGUACCGUAAACGGACACACGUAGUCGGGUUGAAUAUACUCAGGCGCUUGAGUGAAUCACGGUUAAGGAACUAGGCAAAUUGAC